rnacentral:misc_RNA from 1 species
UGUGGGCCCAGUGGCAGG